rnacentral:lncRNA from 1 species
CGUGAACAUGCAGAAAAAUGGAGACGUGUGAUAUUCAUGUUCAAAUGCGAUUCAUGUUCAAAUGAUUAGCAGAAAGAUAAUCAAUUCGAGGCAAUUGAUGUCAGGUCAGAACCGACUACCCUAUUAAUACAUACACAUGGUUAUUUUCAUGAUAUCACUCAUGAAUACAGCAACAAUGUUGCGAUAGAGAGUGAGGAACAAUAUUGCGUUCAUUGAAUGAAUGCCUCAUGUAAUCGACAGGGUAGUGGUGUCUCAAGGGCAAAUAAUAUACAGUAGCCUAAUAAUCACUAUGCAAAUUGCUUCACAGACAGUGAAAUUCACUACUUUUUUCAAGUAAUUUUAACAUUGAUGAAGAUUAUAGCAAUGCUUGCAAGUAGCAACAAGAAAAACUGCUUUUUUUCCAGAUAGAAGUUCAUGUGGAUAUCUUGAUUUGACUUUUGAACUUGGUCUCAUGUGCUAUGACACAAUCAACACAGAGACUGAGAUGUCUGCAGCAGAAAUUGAGGCCUGUGUCUACUCCUAUUCUUCACUUGAAGAGGAAGAGAUAUGCCAGUACUAUGGCAGUUCCGGCUCUGAUCAUCCCACUGAACCACAUCCAGACAUUGACAUGUUCUGACAUGGCUUCUUAAUUGAUUUGAGGAAGGUCUUGGAGCACCUUAUGGAGGACAAUUAUGACUGGCCAUUAUGACUGGCCUCAUACUGGCUGCCAAUAUGUUUGCAAUUGCUGCUCUGCUACUUGAGGUGUCUGCAUAAGCCUCUGGAAUCAGUUCAAUUGCCCAGGGGGUUUGAACAAAGGAUCCAAUUCCGGAAAGUUGUAUUCCUGCUCGUAAUGCUGGUGAGUUACCGCCGCUCUGAUAUCCAAAAGUUAUUUCCGUCUGUAUGUAAUAACACAAAAACGUUUCUGGGCUAAUAAUGUAAGAAAUAACACAUAAAAAACUAAAAACCGCAAAGUUUGAAUUCUUGUUGUGGUAAACAUCUGUAUUCUGCUCCCAACUGGCACAGCGGUCUAAGGCACUGCAUCUCAGUGCUAGAGGCAUCACUACAGAUCCUGGUUUGAUUCCAGGCUGUAUCACAACCAGCCGUGAUUGCGAGACCCAUAGGGUGGCGCACAAUUGGCCCAGUGUCGUCCGGGUUAGAGUUUGGCUGUGGUAGGCCGUCAUUGUAAAUAAGAAUUUGUUCUUAACUGACUUGCCUAGUUAAAAUAGUAUAUAUACGUUUUCCAGGGACUGACAAGUGUAUAUUACAUGAAACAAACAAACACAUAGAACACCUGAAUAUUAAAGGUGAGAACAAUUCUUCUUUCUUGGCGUACACAAUAUCUGCCUGUCUAGUUGAAGACAAAUAACACAUAGACAGUUAAUGAUAUUGACUUUGCUCUGUGUCAGACCUUUACUUCUUCCUCCUGGCACCCACUCUAUGCUACCAGUGAGACUUCCCCUUGACCCCCAGGGUCCAAAUCAACGUCCUUUGUGAGAGGCUGGUAAAAAUGGUGAGAUGAGGGCCACACUAUUAUCCACCCUCUUAAUUUUUGCCUCUUCUUUCAGGUGGUUCUUACUCAAAUGAUGGUGGUAAUCGUGCAGCAGGUGAUAUGUUUAUGUAUUAAAUGCAUGUGUUUGUACUGUGAUUGAAUAACUGUGAUCCUCAACACAGGGGCCCCACAAGUAUGUGUGCUCAGCCCCCUCUUGAACUCCCUGUUCAACCAUGACUGCGUGGCCAAGCACACCUCCAACUCAAUUAUCAAGUUUGCAGAUGACACAACGGUAGUAGGCCUGAUUACCAACAAUGACGAGACAUGCGCAAUAGCGCCUCUUCAACCUCAGGAGGCUGAAGAAAUUCAGCUUGGCCCCUAAGACCCUCACAAACUUUUACAGAUGCACCAUGAAGAGCAACCUGUCAGGCUGUAUCACUGUCUGAUACGGCAACUGCACCACCCGCAACCGCAGGGCUCUCCAGAGGGUGGUGUCGUCUGCCCAACGCAUCACCGGGGGCACACUGCCUGCUCUCCAGGACACCUACAGCACCCAAUGUCACAGGAAGGACAAAAAGAUCAUCAAGGACAUCAACCACCCGAGACACGGCCUGUUCACCCCGCUAUCAUCCAGAAGGUGAGGUCAGUACAGGUGCAUCAAAGCUGGGACCAAGAGACUGAAUAACAGCUUCUAUCUCAAGGCCAUCAGACUGUUAAAUAGUCAUCACUAGCUGGCCUCCACCCAGUACCCUGUAGUGAACUUAGACACUGUCACUAGCCGGCUACCACCCGGUUACUCAAACCUGCACCUUGAGGCUGCUGCCCUAUGUACAUAGACAUAGAAUCACUGGUCACUUUAAUAAUGGAACACUGGUCAGUGGUCACUAAUAAUGUUUACAUAUUGUUUUACUCAUUUCAUAUGUAUACUGUAUUCUAGUCAAUGUCAUCCUAUUUAACUAUUGCUGUAUAUACUAUAAUAUCCUAUGUAUUCUACAGAUACACUAAAUAUUCUAUCCACGUACAGUCCAUAAUGUCUUUAAUGUCUAUAAAUUCCAGCACAUAUAUAUAUAUUUAUACUCCAGAUUCCGACAUUGCUCAUCCUAAUAUUUAUAUAUUUCUUAAUUCCAUUCUUUUACUUUUAGAUCUGUGUGUAUUAUUGUGAAUUGUUAGAUAUUACUCAACUGCUGGAGCUAGGAACACAAGCAUUUCGCUACAACCGCAAUAACAUCUGUGUAUGUGUAUGCAACCAAUAGAAUUUGAUUUGAUUUAUGUAUUAACAUUUUGUUUGUUUUGUUGUGCCAGUUAUGUCAUAUCUCUGCCUUUGCACAACUGUCAUCUAGGGAUCUUCAUCAUGAUGCUCUUUGAGCUCCUGGUAGCUAUUUAACUUGGACACUAUUUCAGGGGUAACUAUGGCAGUGGGCUGGUGUGGCUGUGCUUGCUACUGGGUCCUUCUCUGGCUAUGAUUAUCUAUUUCCACGACCACUACAUGAGUCACCAUGGCCAACAUCCUCCUGGACUGUCCGCUGCUGACUGUUUGUCAUGAUCACUCACUUAUACUGACUUUGGAUAGGCUCCAGCACUUUUUGAUAUCUUUGAAUGACUACUGUCCAGUUUAGCAUUCGUCCAUUUGUAGGAAGUCAUCACAGCCUUAAUUUUUAUUUUUUAUUUUAGUUGAAAGACCAACAAAAUCUACAGAACAGCUAUUCACAAUUAUUUUUUAUUUGAAUCUUUGGAGCCUGUGUCCUGUCAUAUUGUGACUCAAUCACACAUGAAAGAUAGGGCUGCUUAUUCACUGUUCACAAGUCACCCAACGUUUACUGUAGGUUUAUGGAUCAUAGCCAACUGUUUUCAGACUACUGGUAUCUAACUGCCUGGUGAAAACUAUUGGGAAACCACACCAUGUUGAGUUCAAGCACAGAAUGAAUUAUACAGUGUAGCUUCCAAUUGAAUCGUGCUGUUAAUUCUUUACUGGGCAACCACACCAUGUUGAAUUCACACACAGUGUGAACGGAGUGAAAUACAGUAUAUAGCUGAAUUGUACUUGAUACUUUGGCAAGCUUAUAAAGCUAUAAGAAAUAUGAUAGUUGUGGUGUGCUUGCCCUCUUACCGAGAUUUCAUAAACUGUCAGGACUUUCUAGGAAGAUAAUUUCUAUUGUAUUUAUAUAUUGUUUUGACUUUAUUUCAGAUAGUUUGUGUAUUUGUGAUUAUCUUUCCAGUACUUGUUCUCCUUUUUGUCACAUAUAGGUUUGCCGAUAAAGGGGGGCAAAUGUACUUUUAAAUAAACAUGC